AGGUGAACCUGCGGAGGAGCGUGUCAUUAACCGAACGAUUCUGCGCAGAGGUUAUCAAAACACAAGAUUUUUAUAUCUUUUAUUACAAAUUCUAGUCAAGAAGUUUUAUUAAAAACAAAUCUUCAAAACUUUCAACAACGGAUCUCUUGGUUCUCGCAACGAUGAAGAACGCAGCGAAAUGCGAUACGUAAUGUGAAUUGCAGGUUUUCGUGAAUCAUCGAAUCUUUGAACGCAUAUUGCGCCCUUCGGUAUUCCGAAGGGCAUGCCUGUUUGAGCGUCAUUUCUCUCUCAAACCUUCGGGUUUGGUAUUGAGUGAUACUCUCUUUCUGGGUUAACUUGAAAUACUGUGGCAAGAGCUGCUUUGCAGGAUCUCCUCUGAACUAACGUUUCUAGGUUCUACCAAUUCGUUAUGGACAGUGUGUGCUGAACGCAUGGCUUUUGGGCUCGGCCUAACAAUUUCUUCAUAAGUUUGACCUCAAAUCAGGUAGGAUUACCCGCUGAACUUAAGCAUAUCAUANGCCGGAGGAAAGAAAANCCUUUAGUUCUACUGGUUGCCGGCGCUUUAACUAGCGCGGCGACAAACACUUACACACAGUGCUANUUUUUUCUAACAUUGCUAUGCGUGGAAAAAGCCUAGCUUUCUGCGCANAGGUAUCAAACACAAGAUUUUUAUAUCUUUAUUACAAUUCUGGUCAGAAGUUUUAUUAAAAACAAAUCUCAAAUUUCACACGGACUUGGGUUCUGCACGAUAAAAGCAGNAUGCGAUACGUAAUGUGAAUGCAGUUUCGUGAAUCAGAACUUGAACGCAAUGGCUUCGUAUUCGAAGGCAUGCUGUUGAGCGUCAUUCUCUUCAACUUUCGGGUUUGGUAUUGGAGUGAUAACUCUUCUUUCUGGUAACUU
rnacentral:rRNA from 1 species